UACGGAGGGUGCAAGCGUCAAUCGGAAUUACUGGGCGUAAAGCGCACGUAGGUGGUUUACUAAGCCAGCUGUGAAAUCCCCGGGCUCAACCUGGGCACUGCAGUUGGAACUGGUAAGCUAGAGUAUGGUAGAGGGGUGUGGAAUUCCAGGUGUAGCGGUGAAAUGCGUAGAUAUCUGGAGGAACAUCAGUGGCGAAGGCGACACCCUGGACUAAUACUGACACUGAGGUGCGAAAGCGUGGGGAGCAAACAGG
rnacentral:rRNA from 1 species